rnacentral:lncRNA from 1 species
GGGGGGAUAAUGUACUAAACUGACUUGACUAGAGUUGUACAAAAAUUGCUGUCUUCAUAAAAUUACAUAUGACUUAGAAAUAUACCAAAAUAAUACUGUUUUCGGAUACAAAUAAAACAUUACAAAGUUCACACAUGAAUAUUUACACAAAUGUCAUCGUUCGUAGAAUGUACGCUGUUUCUAUAUAUGCUUUCUCAUGACUUAUACCCCAAAUCACUUAAUAAUAGCUUUAACUAGAAUAUAUGGGACAUAAUGGCAUUAUUACUUACAUCGUAAUUCACCAAGGGACAAGGAGAAUGAUAGUAUUCUGCGUGAUUUCGUACAAAAAUUUAUCAGGCCAUGCUGCAGGAAGUGUAAAAACAAUGAGUAAAACAAAAACAAAGUCGGAUUAACCACAAUUAUCAAAAAAUGCAAGUUGCG